ACUCCUACGGGAGGCAGCAGUGGGAAUAUUGCACAAUGGGAAGCCAUCGAUGCAGCCAUGCCGCGCUGUGUGAAGAAGGCCAAUUCGGGGCUUUGGUUAAAGACACUUUCAGUAGGGAGGAAGGUAGUGUAGUUAACACCUGCACUAUUUGACGUUACCUACAGAAGAAGCACCGGCUAACUCCGUGCCAGCAGCCGCGGUAAUACGGAGGGUGCGAG
rnacentral:rRNA from 1 species